rnacentral:rRNA from 1 species
ACGAACGCUGGCGGCGUGGAUAAGACAUGCAAGUCGAACGGGAGAAUUGCUAGCUUGCUAAUAAUUCUCUAGUGGCGCACGGGUGAGUAACACGUGAGUAACCUGCCUCUUAGUGGGGGAUAGCCCUGGGAAACCGGGAUUAAUACCGCAUACGAUUGAAAGAUCAAAGCAGCAAUGCGCUAGGAGAUGGGCUCGCGGCCUAUUAGUUAGUUGGUGAGGUAACGGCUCACCAAGGCGAUGACGGGUAGCCGGUCUGAGAGGAUGUCCGGCCACACUGGAACUGAGACACGGUCCAGACACCUACGGGUGGCAGCAGUCGAGAAUCAUUCACAAUGGGGGCAACCCUGAUGGUGCGACGCCGCGUGGGGGAAUGAAGGUCUUCGGAUUGUAAACCCCUGUCAUGUGGGAGCAAAUUAAAAAGAUAGUACCACAAGAGGAAGAGACGGCUAACUCUGUGCCAGCAGCCGCGGUAAUACAGAGGUCUCAAGCGUUGUUCGGAAUCACUGGGCGUAAAGCGUGCGUAGGCUGUUUCGUAAGUCGUGUGUGAAAGGCAGGGGCUCAACCCCUGGAUUGCACAUGAUACUGCGAGACUAGAGUAAUGGAGGGGGAACCGGAAUUCUCGGUGUAGCAGUGAAAUGCGUAGAUAUCGAGAGGAACACUCGUGGCGAAGGCGGGUUCCUGGACAUUAACUGACGCUGAGGCACGAAGGCCAGGGGAGCGAAAGGGAUUAGAUACCCCUGUAGUCCUGGCAGUA